CACUGGUGCUUCUUUUCGCUGCUCCAUCAUCCUGUCCUUUGCCUAUGGCAAUGGAAGAAGAAAUAGCCACACUCGUCCUUGACAAUGGUUCCGUCAUGUGAAAAGCUGACUUUGCUGGCAAUGAUGCCCCCAGGGCCUCGUUUCCCUCCAUCUUCAGAUACCCCCGACACCAGGGCAUCAUGGUGGGCAUGAGCCAGAAAGACUCCUAUGUGGGUGAUGAGGCCCAGAGCUAGAGGGGUAUCCUGACCCUGAAGUAUCCUAUCGAGCAGGGAGGGCAUUGUCACCAACUGGACAUGGAAGAAGAUCUGGCACCACACUUUCUACAAUGAGCUGCGUGUGGCCCCUGAGGGGCACCGGGUGCUUCUGACCGAGCCCUCCCUGAGCCCCAAAGCUAGCAGAGAGAAGAUGACGCAGAUAAUGUUUGAAACCUUCACUACCCCAGCCAUGUACAUGGCCAUUCAGGCAGUGCUGUACUUGUAUGCAUCUGGGCACACCACUGGCAUUGUCAUGGACUCUGGUGACAGGGUCACACACACAGUGCCCAUCUAUGAGGGCCUUCCCCACACCAUCUUGCAUCUGGACCUGGCUGGCUGGGACCUGACAGACUACCUCAUGAAGAUCCUGACUGAACGGGGCUACAGCUUUACCAUCACUGCUGAGAGGGAAAUUGUUCGUGACAUAACGGAGAAGCUGUGCUAUGUUGUCCUGGGUUUUGAGCAAGAAAUAGCUACUGCUGCAUUAUCUUCCUCCUUGGAGGAGAGUUAUGAGCUGCCUGAUGGGCAGGUGAUCACCACUUGCAAUGAGCAGUUCUGGUGUCCGGAGGCUCUCUUCCAGUCCUUCUUCCUAGGCAUGGAGUCCUGUGGCAUCCAUGAGACCACCUUCAACCUCAUCAUGAAGUGUGACGUGGACAUCUGCAAAGACCUGUAUGCCAAUACAGUGCUGUCUGGUGGUACCACCAUGUAUCCAGGCAUUGCUGUCAGGAUGCAGAAGGAGAUCACAGCCCUAGCACCUAGCACAAUGAAAAUUAAAGUCAUUACCCCCCCUGAUCACAAGUACUUAGUCUGUUUCGGUGGCUCCAUCCUGGCCUCACUGUCCACCUUCCAGCAGUUGUGGCUCAGCAAGCAGGAGUAUGAGGAGUCAGGCCCCUCUAUCAUCCACUGCAAAUGCUUCUAGAUUGACUGAGCAGGUGCCAGGCAUCUGCUGCAUGAGCUGAUUCUGAAGUAUCGAUUUGCCCAGGCAAAUGUA